rnacentral:rRNA from 1 species
GACGAACGCUGGCGGCGUGCCUAAUACAUGCAAGUCGAGCGGAACUGGGGGAGCUUGCUCCUUCCAGUUUAGCGGCGGACGGGUGAGUAACACGUGGGCAACCUGCCCUGCAGAUCGGGAUAACUCCGGGAGACCGGUGCUAAUACCGAAUAGUUUGGCGCCUCUCCUGAGGCGCUACGGAAAGACGGUUUCGGCUGUCACUGCAGGAUGGGCCCGCGGCGCAUUAGCUAGUUGGUGGGGUAACGGCCCACCAAGGCGACGAUGCGUAGCCGACCUUAGAGGGUAACCGGCCACACUGGGACUGAGACACGGCCCAGACUCCUACGGGAGGCAGCAGUAGGGAAUCUUCCGCAAUGGACGCAAGUCUGACGGAGCAACGCCGCGUGAGUGACGAAGGUUUUCGGAUCGUAAAACUCUGUUGUGAGGGAAGAACACGUACCAACUAACUAUUGGUACCUUGACGGUACCUCACCAGAAAGCCACGGCUAACUACGUGCCAGCCGCCGCGGUAA